rnacentral:rRNA from 1 species
UACGGAGGGUGCAAGCGUUGUCCGGAAUCACUGGGCGUAAAGGGCGCGUAGGCGGCUCAUGAAGGCUGUGGUGAAAGUCCGGGGCUCAACCUCGGAUCGGCCGUGGCGACUCGUGGGCUGGAGCACUGUAGAGGCGGGUGGAAUUCCGGGUGUAGCGGUGAAAUGCGUAGAGAUCCGGAGGAACACCAGUGGCGAAGGCGGCUCGCUGGGCUUUACCUGACGCUGAGGCGCGAAAGCGUGGGGAGCGAACCGG